AAUGCAGUUCACAGCACCGCCGCCAGGACAGGAGACCCGGCUCCCCACCAGCAGGAAAGGUCCCGCUUCACCGCGAGGGUUGCUGGGAAGGGGUGUCCUCAGGCUCUGAGAAUGGCCCUGGGUUCCAUGCUUCCCAAGUGGGUCGCGCCCGGAUUUCCAUGGAUUGUCGUCUGGACUGAUCACAGGGAGGGCCCCAUGGCAGCGGCAGAAAUGCUUACGGACCCUGAACAGGUGAGUGGAGGGUCACCCUGCUACUCAGGCCCCCAGGGAAGGGUAGUGUCCCACGACCUGUGUCCCUUCUCCUGCGUCUGUAGACCUCGUGCUUUCCCCAGGCCUGGGGUCCUGUAUUUAGUCUCAGGUAUUCUGGAACAGUUCCGUUUCUGACACCUGAUGGGGUGAGACGAGGCAGGGCCUCCUGACCACCGGACGCAGAAGGUUCACACAGCUGCAGGUGAGACCUGGCGGGCAAGUUCAGGGAACUGCAGGUCUCUGUUACAUCUGGUGGAAAUGGGAGCUGGGGGAGCAGGACACAGGUCUCAGAUCUCAGAGAGGUCCUGGUCCCCCAAGCUCAGGUUGGUGGGUGGUGGGUGAGUUUGAAGCAGAGGAGGAAGGUGCCAUGACCCAGGUUUGGACGGGCUUCCUCUGGCUGCAGGUUGGCAGAAGGCGGGGAGGGGGUGGGGGAGAGUGGGGGGAGGUGGAGGCAGGAAUACCUGGGGGCAGUUUCCUGCAAUAAUCCAGGAGAGUGUUGGUGACACAACUUCUACAGUGGUAGCUGUGGAGGGAGAGCAGUGCUUGGCUUCUGGAUGUGUUGUGAACUAGAGCUGCCUGUGUUGCUUGUGGUGGAGAGAGAGGGACUCAAGGACGUGGGCCAAAAGGAGGAAUCAGGGCCAAGUCCAGGAAUCUGGCUGUGCUUGGUUUUGUUUUUUUUUAAUUUUAAUUUUUUUCUUUUGUCUUUUUAGGGCUGCUUCCCUUGGCAUAUGGAGGUUCCCAGGCUAUGGGUCUAAUCAGAGCUACAGCUGCAGGCCUAUGCCAGAGCCAUAGCAAUGUCAGAUCCAAACUGAGUCUGUGACCUACACCACAGCUCAUGGCAAUGCCAGAUCCUUAACCCACUGAGUAAGGCCGGCGAUCAAACCCACAACCUCAUGGUUCCUAGUUGGAUUCGUUUCUGCUGCACCACGAAGGGAACUCUUUUUUUUUUUAAUGAUUUUUAUUUUUUCCAUGAUAGCUGGUGUCCAGUGACCCGUCAGUUUUCUACUGUACAGCAAGGUGACCCAGUCGCACAUACAUGUAUCCAUUCUUUUUCUCACAUUAUCAUAUUCCAUCCUACGUGACUAGAUAGAGUUCUCAGUGCUGUACAGCAGGAGCUCAUUGCUUAUCCAUUCCA
rnacentral:lncRNA from 1 species